rnacentral:rRNA from 1 species
UGGGGAAUAUUGGGCAAUGGGGGAAACCCUGACCCAGCAACGCCGCGUGAAGGAAGAAGGCUUUCGGGUUGUAAACUUCUUUUACCAGGGACGAAGGACGUGACGGUAUGGGGAGAAAANGCAACGCCUAACUACGUCCCCGCAGCCGCGGUAAUACGUAGGUUGCAAGCGUUGUCCGGAUUUACUGGGUGUAAAGGGCGUGUAGGCGGAGAAGCAAGUUGGGAGUGAAAUCCAUGGGCUCAACCCAUGAACUGCUCUCAAAACUGUUUCCCUUGAGUAUCGGAGAGGCAAGCGGAAUUCCUAGUGUAGCGGUGAAAUGCGUAGAUAUUAGGAGGAACACCAGUGGCGAAGGCGGCUUGCUGGACGACAACUGACGCUGAGGCGCGAAAGCGUGGGGAGCAAACAGG